UGGUGGAGUGAUUUGUCUGGUUAAUUCCGAUAACGAACGAGACUCUGUCCUGCUAACUAGGUUGUGUUUUCUCGGGCUGGUGUUCUGGUGUUCCUUCUCGGGGCGCCGGCCCAAUCCACUUGUGAACACAACACUCUUCUUAGAGGGACUGGCGGCUGUUAGCCGCACGAGAUAGAGCAAUAACA
rnacentral:rRNA from 1 species